CCCUCCACUGAUUAAACCAGCCCAUCCCUGACCCUGUAGCUGGGAGAGGAGCCCUAGCCCCAGGAUCCCCAGGUGACCUCAUUGAGGGAUCAGGACUGAACACAAACAACUCACCAUGGAGUCUGUGCUCUGCUGGGUUUUCCUUGUCGCUAUUUUAAAAGGUGUCCAGAGUGAGGUGCAGCUGGUGGAGUCUGGGGGAGACCUGGUGAAGCCUGGGGCAUCCCUGAGACUCUCCUGUGUGGCCUCUGGAUUCACCUUCAGUAGCUACGGCAUGAGCUGGGUCCGCCAGGCUCCAGGGAAGGGUCUGCAGUGGGUCGCAUACAUUAGCAGUGGUGGAAGUAGCACAUACUACACAGACGCUGUGAAGGGCCGGUUCACCAUCUCCAGAGAUAAUGCCAAGAACACGCUGUAUCUGCAGAUGAACAGCCUGAGAGCCGAGGACACGGCUGUGUAUUACUGUGCGGGUGACACAGUGAGGGGACCUCAGUGUGAGCCCAGACACAAAACCUCCCUGGAGAAGUGGAUCAGGACCACCAGGGGGUGCACUCUUCUCACCACUUCCCCCUUGAAGGCCCAGGAACAGGUGAUGAAAGUUCUGGGCAGGUUUCCUGUCAUGGUCUGGGGCUUCCUCCUCAUGGAGCAGGUUCCCUAGGGUGUCUCUCUAGACCCAUGAUUCAGUGUCUCCUUAUAAACUUUCUAAUUUUUAA